GUCGAGCGACGCACACCGGAGGGGUAACCCACUGGUAUGACGGAGCGGCGAACGGGUGAGUAACACGUGAGUAACCUGCCCCACAGACCGGGACAGCCCAAGGAAACUUGGAUUAAUACCGGAUACCCUCGAGGGAUCGCAUGAUCUUCUGAGGAAAUGCCUUUGUGCUGUGGGAUGGACUCGCGACUUAUCAGCUAGUUGGUGGGGUAACGGCCUACCAAGGCGUCGACGAGUAGCUGGUCUGAGAGGACGAUCAGCCACACUGGGACUGAGACACGGCCCAGACUCCUACGGGAGGCAGCAGCAGGGAAUCUUGCGCAAUGGGCGAAAGCCUGACGCAGCAACGCCGCGUGGGGGAUGAAGGCCUUCGGGUUGUAAACCCCUUUCAGGAGGGAAGAAAUUGACGGUACCUCCAAAAGAAGCACCGGCCAACUACGUGCCAGCAGCCGCGGUAAUACGUAGGGUGCGAGCGUUAUCCGGAAUCAUUGGGCGUAAAGAGCUCGUAGGCGGUUCAGUAAGUCGGCUGUGAAAUUUCGAGGCUCAACCUCGAAACUGCAGUCGAAACUAUUGUGACUCGAGUCCGGUAGAGGAGAAUGGAAUUCCCGGUGUAGCGGUGAAAUGCGCAGAUAUCGGGAGGAACACCAGUAGCG
rnacentral:rRNA from 1 species